UGGUGAAUUUUGGACAAUGGGCGAAAACCUGAUCCAGCCAUGCCGCGUGCGUGAAGAAGGCCUUCGGGUUGUAAAGCUCUUUCAGACGGAAAGAAAUCGGUGCGUUUAAUACAUGCACUGGAUGACGGUACCGUAAGAAGAAGCACCGGCUAACUACGUGCCAGCAGCCGCGGUAAUACGUAGGGUGCGAGCGUUAAUCGGAAUUACUGGGCGUAAAGCGUGCGCAGGCGGUUAUGUAAGACAGAUGUGAAAUCCCCGGGCUCAACCUGGGAACUGCGUUUGUGACUGCAUAACUAGAGUACGGCAGAGGGAGGUGGAAUUCCACGUGUAUCAGUGAAAUGCGUAGAUAUGUGGAGGAACACCGAUGGCGACGGCAGCCUCCUGGGCCAGUACUGACGCUCAUGCACGAGAGCGUGGGGAGCAAACA
rnacentral:rRNA from 1 species